GGUCAGUGAUGACUGAAGAAAAGCCUGAUUGCACUAGUGACUUGCACACCCAUUACUUUCUCCCAGCAGCUUUAUUUUCUCUUUCAUCCACACUACAGUAAUGCUGUGAGGUGUUGUGAGGCUGCUGACAUUAUGUGGAUAAAGUCAGUGCUUGUUGCCUAUAGUGUAAGGGGCUUGGCACUGACUGUCAUCCAACAUAAAUAGUCAAGGAGCUGCUAGUUUUGGGAUGUGUCAUAAUGUGCAUGAUCUUUAGUUUUCAAGCUGAGACC